rnacentral:rRNA from 1 species
GACGAAUGCUGGCUGCGUGCUUAACACAUGCAAGUCGAACGGUGAAGGGGAGCUUGCUCCCCGGAUCAGUGGCGAACGGGUGAGUAACACGUGGGCAACCUGCCCCUCACUCUGGGAUAACUCCGGGAAACCGGGGCUAAUACCGGAUACGACCGGGACCGACAUCGCUCCUGGUGGAAAGAACUACGGUGAGGGAUGGGCCCGCGGCCUAUCAGCUAGUUGGUGGGGUAACGGCCCAGCAAGGCGACGACGGGUAGCCGGCCUGGGAGGGCGACCGGCCACACUGGGACUGAGACACGGCCCAGACUCCUACGGGAGGCAGCAGUGGGGAAUAUUGCGCAAUGGGCGAAAGCCUGACGCAGCGACGCAGCGUGAGGGACGAAGGCCUUCGGGUUGUAAACCUCUUUCAGCGGGGACGAAGCGAAAGUGACGGUACCCGCAGAAGAAGCACCGGCUAACUACGUGCCAGCAGCCGCCGUAA